UUUCCGUAGGUGAACCUGCGGAAGGAUCAUUAAUGAGUUGUCAUGGGGUUCGAUGCUGGCAGCCAAUUUUUGGAUGCAUGUGCUUGCCCUAACAAUCAUCUUCCAAACACCUGUGCACAUUUUUGAGGGAGUCUUGAGUUGGUUGCCGCUCUUGGGUGAUUUUCUCACAUUCCCAUAAAUCAUUAUACGCUAUUAACAAUGUUGAACGUGCUCUGUGCCGCAAGGCUAUUAAUAUAAUACAACUUUUAACAACGGAUCUCUUGGCUCUC
rnacentral:misc_RNA from 1 species